UGAGGCAACCUUUUGGAGCCAGCCGCCUAAGGUGGGACAAAUGAUUGGGGUGAAGUCGUAACAAGGUAGCCGUAUCGGAAGGUGCGGCUGGAUCACCUCCUUU
rnacentral:rRNA from 1 species